AGGGUUCGAUUCUGGCUCAGGAUGAACGCUAGCUACAGGCUUAACACAUGCAAGUCGAGGGGCAGCGGGAUUGAAGCUUGCUUCAAUUGCCGGCGACCGGCGCACGGGUGAGUAACGCGUAUCCAACCUUCCGUACACUCAGGGAUAGCCUUUCGAAAGAAAGAUUAAUACCUGAUGGUAUGAUGAGAUUGCAUGAUAUCAUCAUUAAAGAUUUAUCGGUGUACGAUGGGGAUGCGUUCCAUUAGGUAGUAGGCGGGGUAACGGCCCACCUAGCCAACGAUGGAUAGGGGUUCUGAGAGGAAGGUCCCCCACAUUGGAACUGAGACACGGUCCAA
rnacentral:rRNA from 1 species